rnacentral:rRNA from 1 species
AACGAACGCUGGCGGCAUGCCUAACACAUGCAAGUCGAACGGGAUCCUAGCUUGCUAGGUGAGAGUGGCGGACGGGUGAGUAACACGUGGGAAUCUGCCUUUUGGUUCGGGAUAACCGCGGGAAACUGCGGCUAAUACCGAAUGCCCUCGAGAGAGGAAAGAUUUAUCGCCAGAAGAGGAGCCCGCGUCCGAUUAGGUAGUUGGUGGGUAAAGCCUACCAAGCCGACGAUCGGUAGCUGGUCUGAGAGGAUGAUCAGCCACACUGGGACUGAGAUACGGCCCAGACUCCUACGGGAGGCAGCAGU